GAUGAACGCUGGCGGCGUGCCUAAUACAUGCAAGUCGAGCGAACAGAUGAGGAGCUUGCUCCUCUGACGUUAGCGGCGGACGGGUGAGUAACACGUGGAUAACCUACCUAUAAGACUGGGAUAACUUCGGGAAACCGGAGCUAAUACCGGAUAAUAUAUUGAACCGCAUGGUGCAAUAGUGAAAGACGGUUUUGCUGUCACGUAUAGAUGGAUCCGCGCCGCAUUAGCUAGUUGGGAAGGUAACGGCUUACCAAGGCAACGAUGCGUAGCCGACCUGAGAGGGUGAUCGGCCACACUGGAACUGAGACACGGUCAAGACUCCUAAGGGAGGCAGCAGUAGGGAACCUUCCGCAAUGGGCGAAAGCCUGACGGAGCAACGCCGCGUGAGAGAUGAAGGUCUUCGGAUCGUAAAACUCUGUUAUUAGGGAAGAACAAAUGUGUAAGUAACUAUGCACGUAUUGACGGUACCUAAUCAGAAAGCCACGGCUAACUACGUG
rnacentral:rRNA from 1 species